rnacentral:misc_RNA from 1 species
CUUGUGUUUUUCAUGCUUCCGCUCUUUCAAUUGGUAUCAGAGCCACUAUGUUUGCCAUUUAGAUUAUUGAUUAUAUGAUUUAAUUGUGUGGAAUAAUGAUAAGAUGAUAGAUUCAUUGCUGGUUGCAAGAAAGGUGGCGGCUUUGGUGAUGAACACCAUCAUUGGUGUGCCAUCUUUGGCCUUCAUGGGUGGUGCAAGGUUUGGCUUUUAAUUUGUAAUUGUUGUAUGAUCUAAAAGCUUAUCCUAUGUCUAAUUAAAUUGUU